rnacentral:lncRNA from 10 species
AACUCAAAGGCUACUGACAGCAUUGGGAAAAGGCCACAUGUGGAUAAGUGUGGAUAAUUCCCACCCCCUCGGCCCCCUGUUAAUGUGGGUGAAAACCUCUGUUUUCCUUAUGAAACCCCAGGAAUUGAAAGCAGAAAGAUCCCUCUCAAAACCUUUAGGGUUCCUAACCUGUGGUAAGUAAAGAAUGUUACUUUCUAAUAGGCCCAGGAGACCCAUGUUCUUGAGACCUCAAGAAAAGAGGAAUUUACUCAACUCAUAGGUAUUUGAGGCUACCAACCCAUGGCUGGCCUCAGCUGUAAAAGGUCUUAUCUGAGAUUCCGUGGGGAACAGGGUGUCAUUAAAGCCGAUUUAAAGGCCUGUGUGAAAAACAAUUACUCAUGCUGCACUUUACGCAAAUAAUCAGGCCAAGUAUAAGACUAAGGUUUAUUUUACAAGCAACUUAGUCCUAUCAUGAUUUGUUUUUGACAAAAAUGGGGACUAGAGAGAGAAAAAUUAUGUUUCAAUGCUUACCAUAUACUUGUUAUUAAAUUCUCGUCUCAUCUGUUGUUUUUAGGUUUUUGCCUACAUUCUAGACUAACCCUGUUUAUCCCCGUGAACCAACCAGUGAUCUCUGGCUGUAUCUCAGAAGAAACAGACAGAUGGGUAAUAUAAAGAUCUAGAUCAAUAGUCUAGUUCUGGACAAUUAUCCUGCAAAGCCUGCAAGGUGCGGCCAUUAAACUUCAAAUGGUGUUGCUAAUGGAACCAGAUCUGCCCUAGUACGUCACUGAAGAGAGACUAAAGAAAAAAUUGUCUAAUUUCAUAGGACAUUAUAG